rnacentral:rRNA from 1 species
UACAGAGGUGGCAAGCGUUGUUCGGAAUUACUGGGCGUAAAGGGCGCGUAGGCGGCCUUCUAAGUCAGACGUGAAAUCCCCGGGCUUAACCUGGGAACUGCAUUCGGGACUGCAUUGCUAGAGUAUGGGAGAGGGAAGUGGAAUUUCAGGUGUAGCGGUGAAAUGCGUAGAUAUCUGAAGGAACAUCAGUGGCGAAAGCGACUUCCUGGACCAAUACUGACGCUCAUGUGCGAAAGCGUGGGGAGCAAACAGG